AUUGAACGCUGGCGGCAGGCCUAACACAUGCAAGUCGAGCGAGCGGCGGACGGGUGAGUAAUGUAUGGGGACGGACCGAUAGAGGGGGAUAACUAAUGGAAACGGUGGCUAAUAACGCAUACUAUCGGAUAACCCAUAUGGGAUUAGAUAGUAGGUGGGGUAAAGGCUCACCUAGGAGACGAUAUCUAGCUGGUCUGAGAGGAUGAUCAGCCCCACUGGGACUGAGACACGGCCCAGACUCCUACGGAGGCAGCAGUGGGGAAUAUUGCACAAUGUGCGAAAGCCUGAUGCAGCCAUGCUGCGUGUAUGAAGAAGGCCUUAGGGUUUUAAAGUACUUUCAGCGGGGAGGCGUUACCCUCAGAAGAAGCACCGGCUAACUCCGUGCCAGCCGCCGCGGUAAUAC
rnacentral:rRNA from 1 species